ACGUGCAUCCAGGGUCACGCGUUCGGGAUGCUGCUGGAUUCCUCGUCGUUGUUCACGGCGACCGGUCGUUGCUGAAGAGACAACUCCCUGGCCUUGUCCUCCCAAAUCUGGCCAUCGGCGAGGACCCUUUAAAAUAAACAGGAAAGGCGGGAAUGAAGCGACAGCCCCGGAUGCCGUCGAUGUUCAGAUUCCUUUAAUUACUAAGAGCCUUGAAAAUGCCGGUGGAGCACCGAGUUCUUUUUGCAAUUAAAAUGAAGCCUCCCGCCGGGUCUUUCUUCAGCGUCUGUAAUUAGUUAAGGAGUGAUAUCCUGGGUUAAACGCGGAAGUACGCGUUAAUCCCAGAUGUAAAGGGGAGGCCAAACCUAGUGCCGGGGCGGAUUUUGUUUAAAGCCAUUUCUGACGAGUACUCAAGUCCGCGGCAUCCAUUUCGCAUCCGAACCCGGGACUGAUUUAAUUUCUUUACCUCGUUCCCGGCUAACCCGGUGGUUACGCACUUCCUGGUGUUGUCGCUGACCAUGCUGUCGGGGGCGCCGUACACCGGAGGGUUCGCAUAAGGGUCGUAUCCCAGGACGGACAACAUCGGCGCGAUGUCCGGCAUGUCCCUGACAACGUCAUCAGGGAUGUGGCCCACCCACUUGGUCAAGGCCUCCAGGUUCACCGGCUUGAUGACCUGGUCCGACGACCUCUCGACCCUGGAAACAAAAACGAUGUUUUACCUACGACAAAACUUCGCCCUGACCCUAUUCACAUCCUCGAGUACUCUCGAACAGAAAUCAUGAUUUUCAUCAACCUGGCCAAACUGAUAUAACCCGUCCUCUCGAAGUAGUUGUAUUUAAAAAUAAUAAAAAU